rnacentral:rRNA from 1 species
UAGGGAAUCUUCCACAAUGGACGCAAGUCUGAUGGAGCAACGCCGCGUGAGUGAAGAAGGUUUUCGGAUCGUAAAGCUCUGUUGUUGGUGAAGAAGGAUAGAGGUAGUAACUGGCCUUUAUUUGACGGUAAUCAACCAGAAAGUCACGGCUAACUACGUGCCAGCAGCCGCGGUAAUACGUAGGUGGCAAGCGUUGUCCGGAUUUAUUGUGCGUAAAGCGAGCGCAGGCGGAAGAAUAAGUCUGAUGUGAAAGCCCUCGGCUUAACCGAGGAACUGCAUCGGAAACUGUUUUUCUUGAGUGCAGAAGAGGAGAGUGGAAUUCCAUGUGUAGCGGUGGAAUGCGUAGAUAUAUGGAAGAACACCAGUGGCGAAGGCGACUCUCUGGUCUGCAACUGACGCUGAGGCUCGAAAGCAUGGGUAGUGAACAGG